UACGAGAUCAGUAUCAGCAAGUAAACGAGAUUCAGAAGUAGGCUACAGAAAGUCACUAUUUACGUCUUUGCUAAAUACCCCGUCUUCCUGGACACCUUAUGGAGGGACAAAGCUCGAACAAAUUAUGAAACAGUAGGGCUAAUAUCUCGCUGUAGAAAACGGAAUGAAAACUUUGUUCAUUGCUUGCAAGUUCCCAGGCAUGUUUUUUUCUGGAUUUGCUCUGCGCGGAUACAAGUCUGACAGUUUACAACAAAGUAAUUUGUAAGGAGAUUCUCGACAGGCUGUUCCAUUACAUCAAGUGGUCCAACUGCUUCUGUUCUGUUGGCCUCCACCACAUCUAAGCCGGUAAGACAUGACAUCACCUUUUAAAUUACUUCAUUUCUUCCAGUCGUGUGAUGGACUGUUUCUUUGUACCCCAUCAAACUUGAAUCAUUUGUUUGUUAUAUAUCAUUUCAGUAUUUAGGUCAUUUUAUUAACCAAUAAUGACAACAUUUAUGAAAUCUACCAUACUUAGUUUUUACAUUUGACUUUGUUUUAAAUGUCAUCCAUGAGCUAAAUACCACUUGGCUUCCCCAAAGACAAGAAACCAUAAAAUCAGAUGUAUGGCUUAUUAAUCUGGUCAGGUUUAGGUAUCCUCUUUUUCAUGAUUCAUUUUAUGGUGGGAAAUACUUACCUGAUUUGAUUCCCUACUGCUUUAGGAUAAUUUAUACACACUCUAUUAGGAGGGAAAACCCUUUCGGGUAUUUUGGGUAGUUUACACAAAGGCUGAUAAUGGGCCUAACAGGAAGUACACUCCUGGGGGUAAAUUAGAGGCUACCCAGAGAGAGUUGCUCACUGCUAGGGUAUAGGGCCUGCUUCCUGUCUGGCUGUCUCCAAGGCCCUGGGUCGAUGGCAACAGGAAAGACCCCCCCCCACACCACCCUAGUCGGCUCUGAGUUUUCCCAGUUUCCCCAGCAUCACAGGGCCAAGGCCUGACCUCCAGUCAACUAUGUGCACCAGGAAAGUGGUCUGUUCCCGGCACAGUCUCAGUGGUGUAGUAAUUAAUAUUGCCCCAAGAGGACAGGAGGCACACAUGGAAACACACUGGGAAGCCCAGAUGGGAUCCUAAAUGUGUCAAAUGGCAGCAGAAACAAUUUGCAGAAUGCAUUCAACACAUUCAACCUGCUCUGCCCCCAUAUGGGGUGGCAGGGUAGCCUAGUGGUUAGAGCGUUGGACUAGUAACCGGAAGUUUGCAAGUUCAAACCCCUGAGCUGACAAGGUACAAAUCUGUCAUUAUGCCCCUGAACAGGCAGUUAACCCACUGUUCCUAGGCAGUCAUUGUAAAUAAGAAUUUGUUCUUAACUGACUUGCCUAGUUAAAUAAAGGUAUUCAUGUCUGAGUUAGCUGCUCUGACAAAAAUAAGAAAAAACUUGAGGUUCAGGAGCUCCAAUUAAAAUGAGGUACAUUCAAUGAUGUGUAUAAACCCUGGAUUGCUGAUGCUGUUUGUUGGCCAUUGAGAGGCUUUGAAGCUACCGGUCGGCCAUGUUGGUACUCCCCAGCAGUCCUCCACAGGAAUUAAUGGAAUUCUACAAUAUUUGAAUGAAGUGUUUCAAGGACAAAAUUACAUGUAUUUCAGUAUUUUUUGGGGGUUGUAGUGGGGACAGUAACAUUAGUACUCAAAAUAAAUAAUAUAAUACUUGUUUUUAAUAAUGUUUAGCUAACAUUAAUAUAAUUUUAAAGUAUGCAUUAAGGUGUCUGUAAAAUAAUAAACGUCAAAAAUGAAUGUGGACAUUAAUAAAUGCAUUCCUAUAGCUUCCAAAAUCUUUUUUUACACUGGAGGACGAGUACCAAGAUGGCAGCGUGGUGGCUUCAGUACAUAACCCCUGUCAGUCAUCCAGGGUUUAUAUACAUUGUUGGGUACACCAGUUGCCAGCACAAACUAUGAAACCAGGGUGGAGAGCAGAAGAAUAAUUCAUUCUGUGACUCGCUGACCACAAACAAAGUGCCCCCUCAGCAAUAACCAACAAUAAGUCCCUCCAGCUCCAGCAAACUUUGAAUCCCAGUGAUUUCUUUAACUGAACUGAGCCCCCGCUUGGUAUGCUGUUCAGGCUGGCUUGCCUGAGAGAGAGAGAGGCUGUGUGCAGCAGUACUGCCCCAGUGCCCAGUACAGCAGUGACCUCUGGCAGCUAGUUUCCAUGCUGCAGUGUUCCCUAUUGGCCACUCAGUAGCGUAGCAACAUCCGCUACAUUUGUUAGCCCUGUGAAAAGGGGGUUGCCCAGGGAUACUGCCGGGCCAAGCCAUUUCUGGGGUGAAAUUGCGGAGAGAAAAGCAAAUAAAAGCCCAACGUUGUCAGCAUAAAUCCCUACGAAGAGGUAUAGCUGCGCUUAUCAGAUUGUGUGACAAGUGUGGCUGUUUCUGUGAUAUGUGUGUGGGUGCAUAAUAUGCAUGUGAUGUUUUGUCUCUUCGUGGUGUGGGAGCUGCUCCUCCCUAAUCUCUGUGUUUCUAUGCUAGCUAGGACGUUCUCUGAACACUACAGACAGCACUGGUCAGGUUUCAUGUGGAGUCAGUCAAUAGCCAUGAAGAAAUAAACAAGAUAAAACAACAAAGUUUAGGAUUCCUUUAAACUGAGACGGGACAUCUCGCUGGUGGCUAAGUCAGCAGCCUCACAAAGAAGUACAGUAUAAACACUCUAAGGAAAUGGUCUUAGUCAAACUUUUUAUUUUCUAACUGUGAUGUGAAGUUUGCUCACAGCCCACGCGAUUGUUGAAUUGUUAUUGUCAUGCUAAAUAUUAAGUCUUUAUGCCAAAUGCCAUCUCUGUCCUCAAACAACCCCUUGCAGUGAACAUGCUACAGCAGUUACACAUUCUGCAGUACAUCCUGUGGGCUGCAUAUUCUGUGGUAAAUGCUGAGUGGGCUGCCAAGAUUAAUAGUGCAGGUGAAGUGAGAGGAGAUGAAGACCGAGUGAGUUGGGUAUCCUAUUUUACUGUCUCUUAUGUGUUUUUGUUAAAACUUCAAGUCCUCGCUUCACUGCACUGCUCUGCAGCACAAGGUCUGUCUGUGUGAUGGCUGUGCUAGAACAGGACAGAGCACGGUGUGAAAUCAACAGGUUCAGGAAUGACGUUGGCUCUUGACCAACAUAUACUGCUCAAAUGGCUUACUGACGUGAUAUUAUAAGACCGGGACUUUGUGUGUUUUCUACUAUGUUAAACAUACUGUGUCUAAUCAAUGUGCAUACUGUGUAUAAAAAACAUUAUGAUUCUGAUUAAGGCCAAUGUAGGCCGACAUGUUUAUCUUUUAACCUUGCUUAAAUAAAACAACAACAUGUUUAAUGGUGA